CCCCAACCCCCUCCGAAUCCUAGGCCAGCCUGUCGCCAUUUUAACACAUUCAUGUUCUGCCUAAAGCAGCCGGAAUUGGUUUCUGUUGCUUAUAAGCGGGCGAGAGUCCCAGCUGACUCUCCAGGCCUCUGGGCUGACAUUCUAGAGACUUCCACCCCACUUCUUUUCAAAUGCCCUCUGCUGACCGAGGCCAGGAUAGACCCACUCCAUGGAGACAAACCAAGCACAACACAAGUCAAAUUAAAAGCAGAAAGCCUCCAAAUUUGGCGCCGGCCCAGCGUCCUGCCCUGACAGCUGGUCUUCCUCUAAGCCACUGGCGGUGGAGGGCGCCUGAAACAAGACCACCAAUCAGGGUAAACUUCCAGAGAAGCUCCACGUCAGCCUCCUGCAUGGCUGCUGGACCAGUCGAUUUGAGCUCAGCUACUUUAGUCACAAGGUUAUUUCCAAACAGGACUUCUAUUACUAGGAGCGAGGUGCAGGGAGCUUAGCAGCCUCUUCCAGCUUCCAAUCCACCUUGCAAUGAUUAACAAUCACCAUCGUCCCAUCCUAAUAACAAUUCCAAAACUAGCGGCCUGUUGAGGAGGGCUUGGAGUAACUGCACCAAAGCCAGGAAGUAGACCCUGACAGUCCCCACUGUCCCCAUAAGCCAGCCACAUGGCACAUACCUGGAGAAAGAGAAGUGGGAUUCUUCCUGUAAGGUUAUUUCUGGUCCAGAACAGAUCAUUCUUCAAAUGUUCUAACAUCCUGAGUGUGGGUGGAAGCGAUGCCUACUUAUGUCUUAUGGAAAAGAUGGCCUGUUUACCGAAAACUCCUCUAGCUGACUUGGGUGGUUGUAGGAAGGGCCAGCAGCCACUCAGGGGAAAACAGCAAA
ensembl:lncRNA